UACGAAGGGGGCUAGCGUUGUUCGGAAUUACUGGGCGUAAAGGGCGCGUAGGCGGCCUCGUCCGUCCGGCGUGAAAUGCCUGGGCUCAACCCAGGAAUUGCGCUCGAUACAGCGAGGCUAGAGUGUGGGAGAGGUUGGUGGAAUUCCCAGUGUAGAGGUGAAAUUCGUAGAUAUUGGGAAGAACACCGGUGGCGAAGGCGACCAACUGGACCACAACUGACGCUGAGGCGCGAAAGCGUGGGGAGCAAACAGG
rnacentral:rRNA from 1 species